GGUUUGGCACCUCGAUGUCGGCUCGUCGCAUCCUGGGGCUGGAGCAGGUCCCAAGGGUUUGGCUGUUCGCCAAUUAAAGCGGCACGCGAGCUGGGUUUAAAACGUCGUGAGACAGUUUGGUCCCUAUCUUCCGUGGGCGCAGGACACUUGAGAGGCCCUACCUAUAGUACGAGAGGACCUGGGUGGACGUACCUCUGGUGUUCCGGUUGUCAGGCCACUGGCAUAGCCGGGUAGCCAUGUGCGGAACGGAUAACCGCUGAAAGCAUAUAAGCGGGAAGCCGGGCUCAAGAUAAGGUGUCCCUGCCGUAAGGCACUAAAGGCCCCUAGCAGACGACUAGGUGAUAGGCUGGGUGUGGAAGCGUUGUAAGGCGCGGAGCUAACCAGUACUAAUCGGCCGUGCGGCUUGACCCU
rnacentral:rRNA from 1 species